GAAAGCAGGGGAUCGCAAGACCUCGCGCUCAUGGAGCGGCCGAUGUCGGAUUAGCUAGUUGGCGGGGUAACGGCCCACCAAGGCGACGAUCCGUAGCUGGUCUGAGAGGAUGAUCAGCCACACUGGGACUGAGACACGGCCCAGACUCCUACGGGAGGCAGCAGUGGGGAAUUUUGGACAAUGGGGGCAACCCUGAUCCAGCCAUGCCGCGUGAGUGAAGAAGGCCUUCGGGUUGUAAAGCUCUUUCGGCCGGAACGAAAUCGGGCGCGUGAAUAACGCGCCUGGAUGACGGUACUGGAAGAAGAAGCACCGGCUAACUACGUGCCAGCAGCCGCGGUAAUACGUAGGGUGCGAGCGUUAAUCGGAAUUACUGGGCGUAAAGCGUGCGUAGGCGGUUUCGCAAGUCAGAUGUGAAAUCCCCGGGCUUAACCUGGGAACUGCGUUUGAAACUACAAAGC
rnacentral:rRNA from 1 species